rnacentral:rRNA from 1 species
AACGCUGGCGGCGUGCUUAACACAUGCAAGUCGAACGGUGACCCAGGGCUUGCCCUGGUGAUCAGUGGCGAACGGGUGAGUAACACGUGGGCAACCUGCCCCUGACUUCGGGAUAACUCCUCGAAAGAGGAGCUAAUACCGGAUACGACCACUUCGGACAUCCGAUGGUGGUGGAAAGUUUUUCGGUCAGGGAUGGGCCCGCGGCCUAUCAGCUAGUUGGUGGGGUAAUGGCCUACCAAGGCGACGACGGGUAGCCGGCCUGAGAGGGCGACCGGCCACACUGGGACUGAGACACGGCCCAGACUCCUACGGGAGGCAGCAGUGGGGAAUAUUGCGCAAUGGGCGAAAGCCUGACGCAGCGACGCCGCGUGAGGGAUGAAGGCCUUCGGGUUGUAAACCUCUUUCAGCAGGGACGAAGCGAAAGUGACGGUACCUGCAGAAGAAGCACCGGCUAACUACGUG